UACGAAGGGGGCUAGCGUUGUUCGGAAUUACUGGGCGUAAAGGGCGCGUAGGCGGCCAGGUACGUCAGAUGUGAAAGUCCUGAGCUCAACUUGGGGAUUGCAUUUGAUACGGCUUGGCUAGAGUGCGAGAGGGGAUAGUGGAAUUGUGCGUGUAGAGGUGAAAUUCGUAGAUAUGCACAAGAACACCGAUGGCGAAGGCAGCUAUCUGGCUCGCAACUGACGCUAAGGCGCGAAAGCGUGGGGAGCAAACAGG
rnacentral:rRNA from 1 species